rnacentral:rRNA from 1 species
UACGUAGGGGGCGAGCGUUGUCCGGAUUUAUUGGGCGUAAAGCGCGUGUAGGCGGCCAUCUAAGUCGGGCGUGAAAUCCCACGGCUCAACCGUGGAAGUGCACUCGAAACUGGAUGGCUAGAGUCCUGGAGAGGAAGGUGGAAUGCUUGGUGUAGAGGUGAAAUUCGUAGAUAUCAAGCGGAACACCGGUGGCGAAGGCGGCCUUCUGGACAGUGACUGACGCUGAGACGCGAAAGCGUGGGGAGCAAACAGG